UAGACACAUGGCACAUUUUCAAGGAAGAUGAGUGAUUUAACUGAAAAAGUUGCCAGUCAAGUCAAUGGAUUCAUACCUCUCAAAUACCUAUGCCUUUCAGAAGAGAACAGUAGGGAAAAGUGAAGUUUCUAAAAGUUAGACCCAAAAAAUGAGUUAGUCUUGAAGUCAAGUUCCUGGAAAAGGACUUGCCACAAGUGCAUACAGUGACAGGACAAGGGGCAACAGCCUUAAGAUGAAGAAUAGAUUUAGAUUACGUAUUAGGAUGAAACUCUUUAACAGUGGUAAGGCACUGGAACAGGUUUCCCAGAGAUGUGGGACACUCCACCCUUGGAAAUGUUCAAGCCCAGGUUAUAUGGGACUCUGAGUAACCUGCUCUAAUGGAAGGUAUCCCUGCUUAUGAUGGUGGGAUCAGAAUUAGAUGAUCUUUAAGGUCGCUUUCACUCUAUGAUCCUAUGAUUUUACAAAGGAAAAUGAGUGUUUCUAAUAUGUAGCUCUAUGUGCUGUCCCCUGUCCAUGAGUCAGACUGGCCUCCAGUGGCUCAAAGUUCUUUAAGACAACAGGGUACACUGAGGAAAAUGCCUCUAAUAUCUGGUUCAUGAAAGGUCCCAGAGCUUUCCAAAACUGCUGGGGUCCAAGGACAUUUCCUAGAUUGUCUGAGACAAUAGCAUGUGUUCUAAGCUUAUGGAGGGGGUUCAGUCAGUUCAGUAUGAUUUAUAUCAUAGAAUCACUAAAGACCUCUAAGAUCAACAAGUCUAACCUAACACUGCCAAGUCUAUACUAAACCAUGUUCCUCAGUGCCAUAUCUAUGAAUGUCCCAUGAGGAUAUAUCUUUCCUGAGAGACAAGCUAGUGCUUACAUUCUUUCUCUUUUCUCAAGAAAUUUCCCAUCCUUUUGACUUUUAUCAUUUUUAUUAUCAUUCUCUGGACUUGUUCUAUUUCUACUUUCUUUUUUCAGGGAUGAGGUGACCAAAUUUGAAGACAGUAUUCAAAGUGAGGAUGUGCCACUGAUUUAUAUAAUAGUAUUAUAAUAUUUUCCAUAUUAUUCUCUAAAACUCUUUUCUUUGUACAAACCCUGUAAGAUUCUUUUAAUUCUUUGAACUACAGUGCCUUUUAACAUCUGUAGUUUACUCUGAUCAGAUUUUAACAAAGGAAUAAAAGGCUCCAUUUUUCACAUAGAAUUUUAUUUAUUGUUUGAACUUUAGAGGAGAAAUUGGUUAAGUUACAAUUUAAAAUUCUUGGCAAUGUAGACCACUGGGUAAGGAUUUCAUUAUCAGCCCUUCUAUAAUUUCUGUAGAAGUGUGUGAGGCUAAAAGGUAAUGUACAACAUCUUCACUCUUGGACUUGUCUUUUGCUUUAUAUACAUGGAGAAAACCUAAUUUGGAGCUACCAGCAUCCCCAAAGGUGUCAGAAAGGGCAUUCACCUGUACCCCCUUUCUGAUGAAGCAGGCUGGAGCCCCACAUUUACAUGCAGUUCAUCCAGAACAAAGUGCACAUGCAGAACCUGAAUUUUGCCAUUUCCCACAUACUGUACCUCACACUUCCAUGCCAGGUCAGGGAAAAACAUCUUUGCAAAUGAUGCACUUGAUGGCUGCAGAGGGUACGGAUCUUGCUCUUGUGUCACAGCUUGGCAUUAUGCCUUCAUCAGGAUAUUAGAAAAGGCUCAGGGAUAACAGUUACAGGUAUUCUAUAGCCUGAGACACUUCCGGCACCUCCUGCCUUUCUUUAGAAUUACCAAUCCAAGUGGUGACCCUGCCUGACCCUACUUAUCUUGUAAAAGCUGACAAGAUCACAGCCUGAAGCAGUAUAGCCACAGGCUCAAUACUGGCUACCAAAAUGGCUGUUUAGUGUUUUCAAGAAACAUUGCUCUAAAGAUUUACAAUACCAGAUGUGAGAUAUAUGGACAACAUUGACGCACAGCCCUGACCCUGAACAUUCAGCCCCACUUACACAGAAAUUUGUGUCUCUCAAGGGGCCAACACUGAGCUGCCACAAAAUAGUGAUUCCCUACCUGCAAGCAAGUGGUUUUUAGUACUAUUUGAUUAUAUAUACUAAGACAUUGGGUAAAAGUAUUUGAAAGCUAUGGUCUUGAGUUCAGAAUUCAUGCUUAGUUUUUUUUAUCAGUUGCGUUACUGCUUUAGCAAUAGAAAGAUCCCUGCCAUUUCUGUGUAAUAUAUAGAAUUUAUUUUUAGUUUGGUGUAGAGAAUUUUCUUCACUCUUCCAUGACCAAAGCCGUUUCUCAUUAGAAGUUAUUUUUAGAUGAACUGUAAGUUUCCUCCCUAGCAAAAAUUUUGGCUGCACCAAGUGAAAGCAAAUGCACAUUUCCUCAGAUGUCUCUAAGGCUAAAAACAGGUUUAAAUAUAAAAAAAAAAUUAAGGGUUUAGUUGCAUAUACCUUCAUACACUGAAUGCAUUAAGUUCUUGCAAAGCAGUGUGGGCUUUUUUUCCCCUCUUCUUUUUAGAACAGCAAAGACUUGGAACAGAUAUAGAGGUCCUAUUGCUCCUGUUGGAAACUUCUGUUGACUGCAGCAUGAGUUGGAUGGGACCCAGAGAAACCAAAUACAGACAAGUAACGAUGACUUGGCCAUACAAGCAAGGAAAAUCACAGAUAACAGAUCUGGUAUAGAGCUGAGCACUCUCAUUGUCUUGUCAUCAAAAGGCCCUCCUGAUGUGUCUAGGGGAAAGCUGCAAGCAUUCUGGACAGGAAUGUUUCAGCUACCUGCAGCCUCAUCCGAUGAUGCUUAAUGAUCUCAGCUAGCUCGAUCUUCUGUGCGUCAGCAGGGACUUCUUUAAAUUGGUCAACUGUAUAGAACAUUGUUUUCAAGUUUAAUGUACUUGGAAUUAAUCUUAUAAAAUAAUGGCAUAUUUAAAGGCAGGUUAUAUACAUAACACAGACAUGUAUGUGUGCAUUUAUAUGUUUAUGUGUGUAUACAUGUGUAUAUAAGCAUAAGUGCACACAUGAAUAGAAAUGCUGAUGCUAUUUACCUUUUUGAAAUCUUUACAGCUACUAUUAACAUGAAUGUGCAGUUAAAUUGGCAGAGUUAUACAUUUUUGUUGGAGUUCACUUCUGUAAGAUAAAAUCAUAAAGAUAAGCUGUGAAACUCGUGCAGCUGAUGACAUAAUUCUAGAAUCUCGUGAUGCUGAAUCUCAUAUUUCUAGGAGUGUGGGAUGGAUGUUGCUCACUGAAAUAAUUAUACUGCCUAUUCCAAUAUAUGUUUCCUUGUUUUUAUGUGGGCACUGAGGUGU